UAUGUUAUAAGAAUAAAACGAACUAGAUUUUAAUCCGCGGUAUACCGCGGGACGAUUUAUUUUUUGAAAGUAAUAUAUAUUAAAAUUUGCAAAUUUUAUUUUUAUAAAAUAUUUAUAUUUUACAGUUUAUAAUUGUUAUUAAGUAACGUUAUACCACGAAUCCAUGAGACAAUUGUUAAAAAACUGAAGUUUUAACCCCUGUUAAAACAGCAUAUUAAUAAUAUUUUAAAAUUUUAUAAAUAUUGAUUCAAAUACAUCCACCAUAUAACCCAAUUACAAAAUAAAACCCGUUCUGUAAUUUCUUUACCCGUCCCGUGAUUUGUUUUUUAAUGUAGUAAUUUUUUAAAUUAAGAAUUAUUUUUUAUAUAUAAAAGUUUUGCAAAUUGUAUCAUUCUCUAAUACAUUUAUAUUUUAUAGUUUAAUUUUAUAUACAGUAACAUUAUACAUACCACAUAACAUUUUUGGUUUUAUAUAAUCUUUUCUAAAUUAGGAUGAUUUGAUAUGUUUAAUAUUAAUGGUCUUAAAAAUAAUAAAUUAAAGCUUUAACCCGUAUUAAAACGGUGAAUUAAUUAUAUUUUACUUUUUUUAUUAAUGUUGAUUCAAAAACCCGUCCCUCCAAAUCCGUCUUGCCAAAAAGUCAUUUAUUUUAUUAAUAUUAAUUUUGUUAAUGAUAUGACUCUGAAUUUUAAUCUAAACAUUUUAGCUAAUAACAUAAGAGUGCACCAUAUUUAUUUAAUAGGGGAAUGUACCAUAUGACCCGAAUGCACUUUUAUACAAAUCCACCAAAAAAGUCUUGCAAAAAUACUAUAGAGAUAAGAAACGAUAGUCGGUUUUGAUAGGUAUAAGAUUAGCAAAUAUAUUAGUUAGCUUAAAUUAGUUAAAGAAUACAAAUUGAAAAGCUAUAUUACACUUUAUUCGAAUAUAGUAUUAAAACUUAUAUAACAUAGAGAUUUGAUAAAUUUUUAAUUGUUGAAUACUUUUUUUGUGCUAAUUUUUAUGUGAUUAAGAUUUAAUUGAUUUCGUAUAUAAAAUAUUAAAUUGACUUAUUUGUUUAUUAUUUGGUAACAGAUAGAUAUUUGAAUAUUCAGUAUAUUUUGCUUCAGUUUAGGAAAUCUUUGAUGAUCCUUCUUUAGAUCCAAUAAGCCCUAUAAUCUAGAUAUUAACCUGCAGUAUACCGCAGGUAGGCUUAUAUUUUAGUUAAACUAAAU
rnacentral:sRNA from 1 species